ACGCACGCUGGCGGCGUGCCUAAUACAUGCAAGUUGAGCGAUGAAGAUUGGUGCUUGCACCCAUUUGACGAGCAGCGAACGGGUGAGUAACGCGUGGGGAAUCUGCCUUUGAGCGGGGGACAACAUUUGGAAACGAAUGCUAAUACCGCAUAAUAACUUUAAACAUAAGUUUUAAGUUUGAAAGAUGCAAUUGCAUCACUCAAAGAUGAUCCCGCGUUGUAUUAGCUAGUUGGUGAGGUAAAGGCUCACCAAGGCGAUGAUACAUAGCCGACCUGAGAGGGUGAUCGGCCACAUUGGGACUGAGACACGGCCCAAACUCCUACGGGAGGCAGCAGUAGGGAAUCUUCGGCAAUGGACGAAAGUCUGACCGAGCAACGCCGCGUGAGUGAAGAAGGUUUUCGGAUCGUAAAACUCUGUUGGUAGAGAAGAACGUUGGUGAGAGUGGAAAGCUCAUCAAGUGACGGUAACUACCCAGAAAGGGACGGCUAACUACGUG
rnacentral:rRNA from 1 species